UGCUCUUAAAACUUCACUUGUGAUCUGUGUGUAUUCAGCCGUGCAAGAACCGACAAAAAACAAUGUCUCUUAUUCUGAUGCUUGGAACUCUGGGUCUGCUUGCUCAAGUUUCUCAUCAGGAGGUUCAGUCUCCUGAAUCUCUGUCAGUUAAAGUUGGAGAUUCUGCCUCUAUUAGUUGUACUGGGACCAGUGGAGUUGAUGAUGACAUGAGCUGGUAUCUACAGAAACCUGGAGAAGCUCCUAAACUCCUCAUCUACAAAGCAAAUCAACUUCAAUCUGGAGUACCAGAUCGGUUCAGUGGAAGUCAAUCUGAACUCAUAUUUACACUGAACAUACGUAGAGUUCAGUCUGAGGAUGCAGGAGAUUAUUACUGUAUGGGGGUUUAUAAUUCGCCAUACAGGUGCACACAGUGAAAUAGAGUCAUACAAAAACCUUCCUCAGUCAGACAGCACAGAGAAGAGAAGCUCACAACAUUAGACUGUUGAGAAAGAUCAUUGUUCUUAAAUAAACUUGUCUUGUGGAUGUAUUAUUCACUUGUCAGUAUACAGUAUAAAAACUAUUUUACAUUACAAUUAUAAUUCAUAUACAGUACUUAGUAAUACCCCCUCUGAGAAAAUAAAUUCCUUCACCUCUAUUGUCUUUUUUAAAAAGUUUUUAGCCACACUUAUUUAUAUAUUAGCAAAUAGUAAAUAUAUUUUAA